rnacentral:misc_RNA from 1 species
AACCAUCAAGCCUAGCUUGUCGUUGGACCUCUUUGCAACUGAAAUAUGUGGCAGGUCCGAAAGAUAAUGACGGUGUCGUGUUUGACCCUAGAUGCAACGAGCUUUUAAUAGCACGCAUUAAAGUGGUCGGCCGACCCCGGUCUUAACCAUCAUUUUCUAAGGUUGACCUCGGAUCAGGUAGGAAUACCCGCUGAACUUAA